UCCCACAUGACAGCGGUCCACAUCAUCGGCUAAUCUAGAGCACUACGCUCAGCUAUAUCCAUCCGUUCAUCUCAGCCGGCCGGCGAGCCACCACCAUCCGAGCCAACAGCAUCGCCGUCCUCCUCUGCCUCCCCCUACCGCUUCCCCAUCGCCAUUGAUUUCGCGUGCAGCAGGACCAACGGCGCGCAGAAGGAUCAAGGACCACAGGCACACAUACACAUCUGAGCGUGGUGCGCGGCCGGCGGCAACACGGCAGGCCGGCUGCACGCCUGACGCACAGCUUGCGCGGUCGGCAGUUCCUCGGUGCGGCAGGGAAGGCCGUGUACUACACAGCCGGCUCCGUCGCAGGUUUCCAAAGCCAAGGUCACUAGGUCAGCCCGUGGCCGUCGACGAAGAUCGCCGCGAUGUGAGCACCAGGAAUCGCCGCCAAGGGAACAGAUACACGGAUGUCUCAGGUGCAGGUAUAUGUGUCGGAGGGGUGGUGAACUGUGGUGGUGGAACUGGUGUGUUUGCAAAUUGGCUCCAUUGUGGUGGCGGUGGAAAAUUUGAUGUCAUGCCCUGUUGCUGCAUUAACUGUUAAACACAUAUGUGUUACUACCGAAGAUGUUGUAUUGAAAUAUAACAAUUUAGAGUUUGGAUUAUCUGUACUCACUUGAUACAUCGCUUGGUUAUGUGCAUUGCAAGCCUCCAU